rnacentral:lncRNA from 1 species
CGGCAGUCGGAGCUGCCGCAGAGCCCAGCACGGUUCUGGAGGGAAACGUGCGCCCUUCCCAGCCGUGUUUACUGCACGUUGUGGCAGCGCUGCAGGCUGUGGCUCAGCUCUGCACGUGUUCUCCUCUCUCCCCUCCUCUCACUCCUCUGGUAACUUCCGCAUCCAUCCCGAUCCUGCUUGGUGCUGGAAGGUGCUGGCUUGCAGUGCAGUCUUUGCUUUGCAAGCACUGUGCAGGGAGCAGCAGGAUGAGGAAACAGCCAUACGUACACACUGCGUUUCCCACGACUUGCUCUUCUUCCAAGCAGUGGUUCUGAGCCCUGGAAGUCAUCCUCUGACACGAAGCAGACCUCUUUCAUCAAGCACAGCUCACACGAUGCACUGCAGCCGUCGCAGUGAGUCCGGGUCGGUUUGGCCCCUGGGCUGUCAGCAGCAACACCUCAGCAGGGUCAGCACCCUCCCAGCGCUGCCCAGCAGCAGCCCUUUGCUCGAAGGGACCUCGAGUGCAUGAUGGCAAUUUGUCCUCCACUGCAAAACACCGAAGCCAGAAAAUCAAGCCUUACAAGAAAAGCUGGCCUGGAGUCACUGUGAGCACGUAGGCUGUGUUGUCAUUGCGGGGCUGUGGCAGCUGCCAGUUGGAUUGGAAGCAUCGCGUGGCACUGCUGUGGCCGUGGCUAUGCUUAGGAUGUGCUGGGACUUUCCUGGCCUGGUGAGAAGGAGGUCUUCAUAAGAGACACAUGGAAUGGCACCGGAGGAACCAUCCAUCCUGGAGCUGACACAUCUCUCCUGGGGAUGGUGGCACAGCUCCCUCUGGGCGC